GACGGAGGAUGCAAGUGUUAUCCGGAAUCACUGGGCGUAAAGCGUCUGUAGGUGGUUCAAUAAGUCAACUGUUAAAUCUUGAGGCUCAACUUCAAAAUCGCAGUCGAAACUAUUGGACUCGAGUAUAGUAGGGUAAAGGGAAUUUCCAGUGGAGCGGUGAAAUGCGUAGAGAUUAGGAAAGAACACCAAUGGCGAAAGCACUUUACUGGGCUAUUACUGACACUGAGAGACGAAAGCUAGGGUAGCAAAUGGG
rnacentral:rRNA from 1 species